CACACCCAUUUAAAAAGAAAACGUCACUUGAAUCGCCCUCAAUUAAAUCAGGGUUAAAAGUCACCAUUGUUACAACCUCUUACUAGCACAAAAUUUUUCUAAAACAAUCGAGAAAGAAAACCAGAGCCUUUUAGGCACACAAGUCGAAGUGCUUACAAUCAAAAUCCCUUGUAUCGAUGGAUUACCUGAAGGGAUUUCUCUCCUUCAAUAUUAAAAACCCACAAAAAGUUUUCUUCUUUUACAAUCUCUUACUCUAAAAUUUCCAUAACCAUUUCAAUCUAGGCUUUGUGUGCUGUGGAUCGAGAACCAUGUGUGGUGGAGCUAUUAUCUCCGACUUCAUCUCGAUGAAUGCGCCGCCGCGGUCCACUCGUCUCACCUCCAACUAUCUCUGGCCGGAUCUCAACUCAGCUUCGAACACCAAAUUCUCUUUCUCUCUCUUCUUCUUCGUUCAAGUUUGUGAUUUGUUCUAGAGAGAGAGAGAAAUCUCAGUAGAAUUUGCGAUUCAAAUCCUCAAAUUUCACUCUAUUUGCAAAAAAGCCCCUUUUUUUAGGGUCUGAAUCCCCAAUUUGGGAAAUCGCCGCCGUAUCUCGGCCGUUGCCGCCGUUACCGUUAACCAUGAUCGUUAGAACAUACGGCCGUCGAAACCGAGGCAUUUCCAGAACCUAUUCAGACGGAUUAAACGACGCCGUUAACGACGAAGAAGGAGAAGAAGACCCUUUCAGUUUUAGGGAUUCUUUGUCUCAAUCUCAAGAAGGAGAAGAAUCAACCUGUGAGGAUUAGGAGGGCGAGUUUGAUGUCUUUGUUGUCUAUUUGUGGUACGGCUUAUCAGAGAAGGCUUCUGAGAACUCAAGGGAUGGCAAAGACGAUUGUUGAUGCCGUUUUGGGCCUUAACCUUGAUGAUUCAGCAAGCAAUUUAGCUGCUGCUUGUCUACUUUAUGUCUCACAUUUAUACUUAACUAUAUGACUUUGCAUUGAUUUUUAGCUAAAGAGGUAUUUGUUUUGUUUUAGUUGGUUAUAUCUACAAGGCAGCGUUUUGAAAAUGGACUUGAAGUAAAGCACCACCUCUGGACUUUAACAGGACCAGUAAACUUUAUUCGCUAUUGCUAAUGUGUUACUCCUUUUUCAAGCAGCUUUAGGAUGCAGAGAUGUGGUCGGUAAUGACUGGAAUUUUAUUUAUAUUGGCGUCGUUUUGUUUUUUUUGAAUCUAUCAAGACUUCUUUGUUUGCUUAUUCUAACUUGACAAGUUUCUCUUAAACAUCUUUGUUGCCAGCUUUAAUUAGUUAGAUCACUCUAUCCUUGUAUACAUAUUUUUUUUGAACAAUCACUCUGUCCUUAUUAUCUUCAUUAAUUUGCUA